UUGGAGCAGAUCCAUCGCCGCCGCCGGCAUUUGUUGGUAUUUUUUCGGCGGAGACAAAACGAUCUACAGGUACUGUGUACAAACGCUUAAAAAACAUCUAGGAGCUCUUUUACAUAUUAGCUUUGGCUAGUUUAAUUGAAAUAUUUAUUUAGCAACACUAUUACAGGUUGUAAAAUACACAAAUACUGAAUUUGUGGGUUUGUGGAUUAUUCAAGUUUUGUUUAUUUCACAAGUUGUUGCAGUAAAUGUAACUUAGUAUAAGUACCUACACUUUUCUGAGAAUAAAAACAUGUACCAAAUAACUACAAUGGGUUUUUAUUAUAUGAAUCAUUCUACAAUAGCGUUAAAUGUUAAUUUUAUCUUCAGACUUUUAUUGCAGAAAUUAAUUAAAUGUUUUUUAUUUGAAAAUAUUUAAACGUAUAUAUUGCAGGUUGUCACAGCUUGUGCCAUCCUCCACAACAUCUGCCUCUGUGCUGACGACACCGAGGCUCCAGAGGAAGAUGUGGAGGUGGUGAUGAGGAGGAACCUGGUUUGGAGACCACCAGCGGUGCUCUCUGGCAGGACCAACUACCUGCUGAGGUUUCUGCCUUGGGGGAGGUACCACCUUGAUUACUGGUAACAGGUCACUGGAAGAAGUGAAUGCUCGACUAAGACUGAGACAAGCUCAGUGAAAGAUCUCCACAUGGCUGCAUCGAUGGCUUCUUUUCAUGUGCAUGUAUGCAUCCCUACGUGCAGUAAAGCGAUAGACCUUCAGCACAAACCCCAAAAGGCACACUCUCGAAUAAAUGUCUUUGAUGCACA